ACAAUUUUUAUCUCGCCCCCGUGAGCACCGUCGCGUGACCGGUCAAGCGAGCGCGGGGGUGCAGUGGAAACGCGUAGCGACGGUCUCUGUACGCCGCGUCGAGCUCGCGCGACGCGGCAUUCCGUUCGGCGGCGAUCCGGCGCCGCGUAGCCGCCGGUCUCUCCCCGGUGUUCUCGGCUGCUCAAACGGUGUCGAAUUUCUCCGGCGUAUCGCUAUCCUCCAUCCGACGCGCCUGCCGCUCGGUUUCGAGCCUGCCGGCGAUCGAGAUCGGGCUUUUUUUUCCUCGGGAACGGGGGGAGGGAAUCGGGCGAGGCGCCGCGUAAAAGCCUUCGAUCGCGCGCGUGCCUUCCAUUGUCACGAGAUGGAAGGAUGGAGAUUGUGUGUUUUCGCGCGGGUUUCUCCUCUCCGCUCGACUUUAUCGAUCGCGUGAAUUGCGUCGCGUCGCUUAGCCGUACAGACGCGAUCGACACCGGCGUAAUGCUCCCUUUUUUUUUUUUUAAAUAUUUUUUUCUCGUUACUCUUCCAGGAUGUUAGAAAUUUUUUACUCGACUCUCGUCUCUCGCGCCGCGUCGAGAUUAAACCCAUCGAUGGGCGGAACGACGCCUCCCUCGCGCUCCGACGCGAUCUAUCUACCGUCCUUGUCGCUCACGCUCGUUCUCUCGCUCGCUCAUCUGCUCGUGUGUUGCGCGGUAAUUUUCCACCAUCGCCCCGUGACUCGCACCUCGUAUCGUUCGCGACCUCACGGUCGAAACGGCUCGCGUGUCAGACGAGAGCUUUGAAGCCGUCCGACACGUUGUAUCACGACGGUUUCGUCGUCGCCUUUUUCUUCGAAGUUUAAUAAUAUUCGUCGUCGCGAUGCCGCGAAUCCCCUCCGGCAAGUUUCCAAUUAUUGCGUAUCAUUGUUUCACGACGUGUGCGUCGCGUAAACCCGCGACUUUUGGCCGAUCACCAAUGACGUUGCGCGGAGAUAUGCAAAUUCCGCCUGGCUUCCGUCGCGUUUAACAGCGCGAAUCGGACGAGUUUAAUUUAAUAACGGACGGACGAGCAAGUUAAGUCGCGUUCGGAAACAUCUGAGGGAUUCUCGGGUGUUAUUUUUAUCCUUGUUUCGCAUUAAGGAUAAAAUGAUACGUAGGAACACUCGGAUGUUUCCGAACGUGGCCUUAGUCGUUUCUUUCGUUAUUUGUAUUGAUUUAUCGUUUUUAAAGUGAGAAUUCAAUUAGAUGACUCUGUCCCCUUCAUGAAAAUUCGAACAAAGCGCAUCGUCAUACCCUUGACGUUGUCCCUAAAAAUAACGCGUCUGAGCGAGAUCGUGAAUGAACGCCACAUGUAGAUAUUCACCAAGUUGAACGAAAGUUCUUGUUAUUUCUAUAUUUGAUUCGAUCGGUUUAAUCAAAAUCAGAUUACAAUUUUAAAAAAUUUUAUUUAUGUCGUCUGGUCUAUGUGGAUUCUUUGCUGUUCAUUUUCACUAAAAGAUAUACAUAAGAUAAAUGAUAUCAACAGUAGUUUCUUGGUAAAUGAGAGCUUUUAUUUACAUCUUGUAAAUUUAUGUAUCUACAUGAAUGUAUACGAAAUUCUAAAACCCAACGAAUGAAAAUGAACCUGAAAUUGAAUAUUAUGAAUUGGCAGUAGAGUAUUAGUUUCAGUAAACAAGUUUAGUAAAUAAGAAUUAUAUUAAAAUUUACAUUAAGAGCGAAAAAGCAAAAUUUAUUAGAAUCCAUCAGAAGUUGCAUUGUUACUUGUAAGAUAUAGGUCUGUUUUUUCAGCUGAGAGUUUCUUGUAUUGUACCAUCGUUUUUCUUUUUCUAUCAAAUGUGAAGGGAAAAGAGGAAACGUGAUUAUUGAGCUGAAAAGGGAUGUUUUCCAUUUAGUGACACAAGUCGACACAAGUAUCGUUCUAUCUUUGUUACUCAUUGAACAUAAAAAAGAUAGAACGAUGCUUGUGUUAACUUAUGUUAUUAAAUGAAAAGCACCAAAAAACAGACAACUGUUAGUGCAAUUUCUGAUAAGUUUUAACAAUUCUGUUUUUCUGGAUUCUAGUUUUUUUUUCUAAUGUGAAUUCUUGCUAACAAUUUUUAUAUGCAUACAUAUAUACAGAAAAAAAGAAUUCUUUAUCUUAAUGUGUGAUUGCCCUUUUAGAAUCUUAACACAAGGAAAAGAUGGAAUUUAAAUAAGGAACUUUCUAAUCUUGCUCCAACCUCUUUCUAAUCGCGUUUCUAAUUUCUGUCGACCUGAAACGUUUUUGAAACAUGUGAUAUUAGAGUGUUGUUAACAUAAUUCACGUAUAAUUAUGAAAUAUUUAAAACUUUGCAUUACAUUCUAUUAACAAAUUUUAUAUUUUGUUUUUUCUUUUGUUCAAUUUUUUAUGAACUGAAAAAUUAGUUUGUUUUAGAAAAAAAGAAAGGAGCUCUGAAACAUUACAUUGCUAUUGGCAAAUUAAUCGUCGAUUAACUUAAUCAGAUGUUAAUGAGAGGCUCUAUAUAUGAAAAAUUUGAAGCAAAGUAUUGGGUUUAAAAUAAAAUGGGCAAAAAUAAAAAGUAAAGAAAGUCACAUUUCAAUUUGUAAUAAAUUUAUUGUUUCUAGUUUUUUCUUAAUUGUUUGUGUUAAAUUUUUGAUUCCUUGGUCGUUGCGUCGAGAAUUCGUUCUUAAUUAUCAAGAAAACGCCUGUGAACAUUAUUUUGCACUUUAUGUGGCAAAUCGAUUGUAUCCAUGCUCUUUCCUUCUCGCCUUUUACAACGAGAAAACGCGAUCACUGAUUAAAUGAUUCGGAUAAGAUCAGAACGGGGAAUACGAUUGAGAUUCUCCCGCGCUUGACUAGCGCCGCUCGCCAUUGGUCUGCGGCUCUCUCUACCACUCGGCCAGCAUCGCAACGCUAUUGGCCCGCGUGACUCCGACCGCGCCAAUCGACGCGCCGCCGGCACACGAACAACGGGUUGCAGAACACACGCGACACUGGCGCCUCCGAGAACGACGCGGCAGGCACCACCGGGACGCCAUUAUUAACGUUUCGUUUUCUCGACGAGCCCGGUGCCGUGGAAUCUUUCCGUAACGAAGACACCAGUGUCGCGUGAGCUUUCUGUUUCGUCGCUUUUGUCACGUUUGCUGAAUUGCGCGCACGCGAAAUCCGCAUAUCUCGCGAAUUCUCUCGUGGAUUCAUCUCGUUGGAUUAUCGUGCCGCCGAUACGAUAUCGUGAGCAACGUUCGACGCAGGUUCUUGUACGAGCCGCAAAAUGCCGGGUUUUAGCAGCGUUGGCACAUUUAAAAUCUUCAUUGGUAAUUUAGCCGAUAAGACCUCGAACGCGGACAUAAAACCACUGUUCGAGAAAUAUGGAAAGGUCGUGGAAUGCGACGUGGUAAAGAAUUAUGGCUUUGUGCAUAUGGAGAAUGAGGAGGCAGGCCGAAACGCGAUACAGAAUCUAAAUGGACACAUGGUUCAUGGACAGCCGAUAAAAUGCGAGGCCGCGAAGAGUCGUAAGGGACCUAACACCCCUACGACGAAGAUAUUUGUGGGCAAUCUUACAGAUAACACCAAGGCGCCGCAGGUGCGCGAAUUGUUCGCCAAGUACGGCACCGUCGUCGAAUGCGACAUCGUACGAAACUACGGUUUCGUUCAUCUGGAGGCGACUGGCGACGUGAACGACGCCAUCAAGGAGCUGAACGGACAGAUCGUGGAUGGGCAGCCGAUGAAGGUCCAGAUAUCUACUAGUCGUGUGCGACAGAGGCCAGGGAUGGGAGAUCCGGAACAAUGCUAUCGAUGCGGACGAGGCGGUCACUGGUCGAAGGAGUGUCCCAAAGGAGGAAUGGGAGGUGGCCCAGACAGAAACGGAUACAGGGACCGAAUGUUCGGACGCGAUCCAUAUCCUCCUCCGCCGCCACCACCUUUCCUCCGGGACCGGCUCAUGGGUGGUGGCCGCUUUGGGGAUUACGAUAGCUACUACGACAGGCGCGGUUUCGAGGACACCAGGGACCUUUACGAAAGGCGGUUUACGGGUAUGACAGGGCCCAGUGACAUGGGAAAUACCAUGUGCGGGCUAGACUUUCCACCAAUGACAAUGCCAACUCUACCACCAAGACGAGACCCAAUGCCUCCUAUGCCUCCUCUAGGUAUGGGAUCCAUGCGUGACACUGGCUUCUCCCGUGGUAACGAGUAUGGCAUGUUCAGUCGCCGAUCACCCCCUCCAAGUGGCAACAACGGCCGGUUCAGUAGAGGCAUGUACGAGGACUUCAGCCGAGAUUCGUUUGAAGAGCGUAGAACAAUUGGCACCGCGGAUGAGAUGGUCGCGCACGAGCUAGCAUAUAGCGCGAAUAAGUCACUUCAUCACGCAUACACGGACGUGGGAUACUAAUUCUCUUUCUAUAUAUGUAUUAAAACCAGAGAACACCGGGAAAUGAUAUCGGUUUCCGAUAAGCUUGUACCCUUCUCACAUUGGUAGCACAUACGAGAUGAGGUCCUGUUUUGUACGUUUUCUUUUUUUGUACGUGACUCACGUGUGUUUUUUGCAAGUUUUUAUUUUUUAAUAAACGUCAAAACACGUGCGAACAACGUCUCCUUUUGAAUUGUGACUGAGAAUUUACCCUUUCCGGCUGGCUCUCUCGGACUAGGCUGAGCUUGUCUGUUGAAAGUGAUUUGUAAAUCGUUUGUAGAUUGAAACCUGAAGAAGAGUAGAUUGAACUGAGAAGAAGAAAGUCUUUCAAUUUUUAAUUCGAUUUUAUAUGCACUUGAGGAGACAUAUUGAUCUAAAAAUAUUCGCAAUUAAUCUGUUGAAGCGACUUUAUCUUUUUUCUUCUCAGUCAGUCUGCUUUCCCAAUUCCUUUUUUAAGCAUAGGAGAAAGAUUUGCCAUCCUUUCGCCGCCUUCGUAGUGCGCGAUGAUCGUUUACGUGUAUAAAGUUCCAAUCCAAAGCCAAAGUUAAAGCUGCUUCCAAAGGUACCGAGCGAACGGCCGAAUUAAAACUCAAACUUGCAGACUCGGAGGUUGAGCACACAGGUCUACAGAAAUCGGACUCUGGAGAUCGCUUUUUCACCCGAUCGACGGCAAGGCAGAAGGCGACCGGCCACGUUCUGUAGCCUAUAUGCAGUCAUCACCCUUCCUCCCCUCCAAAGUUACUUUAAGAGACGUCGCGCAGUGCGUCCUCGGGGAUAACCGAGCGAGCCUCUCUCACAGUGACUUUGGAACGUGUAGAACCAGCCACGCUAUCUACUCGAUCAUCAUCUCUCCAUACUGAGAUGUGGUGAGCAAACUGCUGUCCGAUAAUACGUAGACUAUUCCGGAUCCGGAGAAAGAAAAAAGAAAGAGGAACAUGAUCGGCCGAUCUGUACACCCCUCAAGUUGACGCGAGAGAGAGGAGAUCGGACCUCCUCUCGGGCUCGGCUCGGUCGCAAGAGUUUUGCGAGUUUGAUCGGUGCAUAGCGACGCCGUCGCCGUGUUAACUUUGGCUUCAAUGCACGGUUUCGUCGAGAUCGGGAGACCCCGGCGCAUGAUAGUCGACGAGAACGUUUGCAAGAUGUCUCAGAACCAGUGGACAUCCUCACAAGCAUCAGAACUUGAAAAGAUCCAUUUGUUGUCUUGAGCUUGAAUGUAACUUUUAAAGAAUACACGAGAAACAUUAAAGAUUAAUAUAAUUUUAGAAAUAAAAAAUUGAUGCUCAUCAUUUCUCAUGCGAUUUUUCUGGUUUUGAGACAGUCUUACUGCACACUGCAACCCGCCCCUUCCUUUUUUUUUCAACUUUUUUGGGGGCGUUACAUCCUAUCGCAACUAGUAGCGCAUCCGCUGUAGACGAACCCCCGACCCGCGAUACGUAGACUUGACGUACUUAAGGCUCGAGGCUCGUUGACCGGGUACGCGGGGAAAAAAAGGAUCUGCGAUGACCGAGUCGCGCGCGCGCGCGUAUAGUACACGCGUGCGGGAAGGAAUGAAAAAGACUCGGGAAGCAUGGAGUCGUCACACCGGGGGAGCUUCGUCGGAUAUAAGUAUGUUCGAUGUAUCGCUGUAGAGUGCAAGUACACUCCCCCUCGAGGAUUACGGUAAUAACGUCGGUGCCGCCGGACUAGUCGUCGGAUAGCGAGGGUCUGCCGCUCGAUGGGCCGCAGCCUCGCUUUCGUAGACCAUACGUGGACGUGCGAGAUUCCGGCUCGUCGUCUUCGACGUCGUCGUUGUCUUCGUCAGCCGCCGUCGCCGUCGUCGUCGUCAGCUUCGUCGUCGUCGUCGUCGCCGCCGCCGACCUCGUCGCAGUCGCCACUCCCGUCAUCGUCGCCGACAACGUCGUCUGUAUAAAUAAUAAAGUCACGCAGCCCGAGUUGCAAAACGGUUCGGGACACACGGUGACCGCCGAGAGCGAAGCUCAACGAGAUGAGAAGUUUCGAGCCCAGUCUCUGUAGCUAGAUCGCUGAGAUACAAUACAUUUCGGAUUACGUGCCGGCACAGACGACCCUCUCGCAGCCGCUUAGAAAGAUUAAAAAAAAAUGUAUAUAACAAAGUAACACCCACAGUCCCUCUCGGCAGAGUUCUCUCUCACUAGAGACACGUGGAGAUCGUGAAUCGCCGAUCGGAUCCGUGCACCAGAUUUUUGAGAGACACGGUCGGCACCAAGAACCCGAGAAAAAUACAUGUGUACAUAUGUAAAAACGGACGCAUACGUCGUCGGGACACACGGGUUACCCCCUUGAGCUCGCGUGAUAGAAAACUAACACACACCGUGUCGGUCAUCGUCGUCGGUUGCCGCAUUACAAAAAAAAAA